rnacentral:rRNA from 1 species
GACGAACGCUGGCGGCGUGCCUAAUACAUGCAAGUCGAGCGAAGUUUUUCUGGUGCUUGCACCGGAAAAACUUAGCGGCGAACGGGAGAGUAACACGUAAAGAACCUGCCUCAUAGACUGGGACAACUAUUGGAAACGAUAGCUAAUACCGGAUAAUAGCAUUAACUGCAUGGCUGAUGUUUAAAAGUUGGUUUUGCUAACACUAUGAGAUGGCUUUGCGGUGCAUUAGCUAGUUGGUGGGGUAAAGGCCUACCAAGGCGACGAUGCGUAGCUGAUCUGAGAGGAGGAGCCGCAACACUAGGACUGAGACAGGGUUCAGACUAGUAAGGGAGGCGGAAGUGGGGAUGAUUGGACAAUGGGAGAAAGACGGAUCCAGCAAUGCAGCGUGUGUGAAGAAGGUCUUCGGAUUGUAAAGCAAUUGAAGUUGGGAGGAAGGGCAGUAAGUUAAUACCUUGCUGUUUAGACGUUACAAACAGAAUGAGCACAGGCUAACUUCGUG